CCUGGCCCCCAUUGCCUGCUGAUCUGGCCUUCUUCUCUAUUCUGCUGUAGGAACAAACCACCGAAAACUGACGUGUUGGUUUCGGGACCUGGAUUCGAAUCCCCCUCACGGCUUUCUGUUCCCCCCUGCCUGCUUCCGCCAACCGGCCUCGCCUGCUUGCUCACUUGCGGGCUCUCCGCAGAGGGGGGAUUGCUUGGCCUCUCGGGACUCGAUAUGAUGAAGCCGUGGCGCCGGGCGCAGACCUCACAUCACUAUUGGGUCUCUGAGAGCUGAGCGGAUCGUCGAACGACGUUACAGGCAUGUCUUAUUUUACGGACCAUUUCUGGGGAGAGAAGAACCAUGGCUUUGAUGUCCUUUAUCACAACAUGAAGCAUGGGCAGAUCUCGGUCAAAGAAUUGGCGGAGUUUGUGCGGGAGAGGUACGGGGCGGCCAAG